ACAUAAAAUACCCAAGAAAAAUAAAAUUUAAAAAUGUAAAUACAAAAAAAAGUGAUGGAAUUCAAACAGAAAAACACGUUGUCACGUUGACAGGUCUAGAGUCACCUAGGAGGCACACUGUGGGGAAUGCCUUAUUGAAGGUGUUUCUGUGAAGACUUCACUGUGGAUGUGGACAUCUCCAUCCCAUGGGCUGGAGCUCUAGACUGAGUACAAAGAUGCAGCAAGCUCAGAGCUGGCGCUCAUCUCUUGUUCCUCUUUUCUUCCUGUUGCCAUGAUGCUGUUCACCCUCAAGUUGGGAGCCCCAAGCCCUCUCCCCUUUAGGCUGCCUUUAGCACAGAAGUGAAGAAGUAACUAACUCCUAUGACGUUAGCAAAGAGGUCAGGAAGUCUGACAGGCGGGAAGCCAGACGACGGAGCCUUUGUUCUGUUUCCUCUCUGGAGGCAGGGGCUCUGGUCCUGAGCCGGCCUUUGACCUGGCUCUGUAGCCCAGGCUAGGCUUAAGCAGCAAGGAGCACAUUUGUAGUCAGGGUCAAGACAAAGAGGCCCUAGAACAAGUCCUAGUUCUACAUAACUUACAGAAGAGGAGGAGACCCAGGCCUCCAUGGGCACCCAGUUUUCCCAGCAAGGACGGCACUCAAGACAGGAAAGAUGCCUUCGAGCAAAGCUCUGACACUUGUUUUGUGCAUUCUGGUGGAGAUGGGGCCUGGGUCUUCUUCUCUUUAAACCCAGGAUUCAUGACUGCCUGGCCAACCAAUCGUGGAGGAAGUGAGGCACUGCCAUAUUUCAGGCCCACAGUUCUAGGAGUCAGUAGUUUCCAUUCGUUUCUUCCUGGUGUCACUCUUAGAACCUGAACAGGGUUAAUUUUCCAGGACACAAUUUCUCUGUAUAGCCCAGGCUGUCCUGAAACUCAAUCUGCAGAUCAGGCUGGCCUAGACACACACACACACACACACACACACACAUACACACACACACACACACACAAAUAAUAAAAAAUAAAAUAACCAUUAAGAUAAAAUGAGGGCCCUAGGACAAAGUCCUAGUCCCAAGUCAGUCCCACCAAUUUACAUUUCCUUCAAAGGAGCCCAGCAUUCCUCUUAUGUCUGUAUUAUGCAGCUCAAUCCCUCACACUUCCUCUUCAAGAUUGCUGCAAAUAUCCCCCUAGCCAAUGACUGGCAACCACACCCGCUCAUGGCCCUUUCCUGCUGACAGCCCAUCCGGUGCCUUUAAGAGAAUGUUAGCACUCCUGAGCAGUGAGUCCAGAGUUCCUUAUGGUUCCACAGAGAGACUGCUGCUCCCUUGGGUCACGUGUGUCCUCUUGCCUACCUUGACGACUCCCAAGUGCCGUCUCUCAUGCCCUUUCAUUACCUCCCAUCCAGGGGCUCAGCCUUGACUACCACUCUCCCCACCUCUUCUCAUUUGCACGGAUACUGAACGAACCUGCUACCACACGUAUCACAGCAGCCGUCACAGUUUGACUGCCCUUCCUGUCAUCUCAAGUCAACUGUAAGUCCCCAUAAGAUGGAGGCUGUGGUCUUUCCUCAUGUGCCCCUGGCACUAGGAAGACCUUAGACAUACAAUAGCUAUUUGUGAAAUAAAUGAAAAGGCAGAUGGGGAGCUGGUACGGGAGGUUGAAUCUGUGAGGGGGUGGGAAGGAAAACACAGAAAGCAGAGCAGGCAGGAGCCUCAGAAUGAAGAGCUGCACAUAAGCAAACGUCGUGUGUGUGCGGUGUGCGCACCAUAAUCCGCUGCAGGUCUGGCACGUGCUGACGCUCAAUAGACUCUAACUUUUUGUUACUGUGACCAAAGUACCAGACAGAAACAACUUAAAGGGGGUGUUUGCUUUAGCUCAGAGUUUUUGAGGGCUCAGUCCACCAUGAUGAGGGGAGAGUGGUGGAGCAGGGCAGCUCCAGCAUAACAGUCAGGAAGCAAAGGGAAAUGCUGGCCUUCAACGAGGUUCGCCUUUUUCCUCUUUGAUUUUCAGCAGGGCCUAAGCGCACGGGGAUGUACUAUAGGUGCACAGUCAGCAUGGUCUUCUAACCUUCCGCUCUGGAAAUGCCUCCACAGACACACUCAGGGAACAAGAAGAGGAGGUCCUCUCUCAACACCCGUAUUCAAGCUUGUGUUCCAAUCAGAAAAUGAACAUUUUGUGCUCAAAUUUAUAUGGAAAUGCAAGGAAUUCAAACUAGAUCGAGCAAUCCUUAAAAAGGAAGAAAGCUAGGUAACUCAUAUUUUGAAAUUUUAAAAGUUACUAUUAAUAUAAAAACUAUUAAAAGUCAGCCAGGUCUGGUAGCACAAGUCUAUAAUAGCAAAACUUGGGAAGCUAAGUCGGAGGACCAGGAGUCCAUGCUCAGUCUGGACUGCAUGGUAAAAAAAACAAUCCUGCCCCAAAGAGGUUAGCAAACAGACCAGAAAAACCCAAAACAAAACAAAAGAGGCCCUAACAAACCCACAGUAAUCAAAUGCUGUUGGAGAAACAAAAUGUCACUUCUCAGGUCUCAAGCUGUCAUGACCAGCCCGGUGACUGCAGAAAAGAACUGUCCUAGAUCCGUGACAUUUGUUUGGGUAGUAGAUCCUAUUAUGUCCUCAUCAGGUAAACAACAGUAAUUAUGUCAGAGGAUUAUGUGAGUCACCCUGAUCGGGGUAAUCAUUAUAGGAGCUGCAAGAACAACAAAACAAGUUGUUGAGGAAGGCAUCGAUGAACAUGCCAAACCAAAUGGGGACAACCCCACGCGGCCUCAAUCCUUCUCAAAGAACAGCAACUCAGUAAAGCUGGGAGCAGGAGUACGCCCUCUCCUCCAAGGAGCACUCCGACUGGUGGUCCAGGGCCAAGCACGAUCAAACCCAGGUCCUGUGUACCCCCACCCCGGCCACCCUAAGGCGCUAAGAUACUGAAAGGGCGGAAAGAAGAGUCUUUUCAACGAAUGGUGGAUGCUGGAGAGCCACACACAAAGGAGGGAGACCCCAAGCCAUACCUAAAAGUUAGCCUCCAGCUGAGCAGAGACCCAUAUGUAAGGUCCAAGUCCAAAGCUCUGUCGGGGCACUGGAGUAAACGCUCACGAGCUUGCAUUCCUUGGCUACAGCUCCAAAGCCCCAGUGACAGAGGAAAAGAUGGAUUAACUGGACUUUCUCAACAUUGAGUCCUUGGUGCUUCAAACCUAGACACUAAAUUUAAAAGACAACCUAAAGGAUGGGGGACUAUGUAAAGACUAUCUGCAAUCCAAUGACAAUAUGUUAACCCAACUGAAAAUUAGACCACUAGUAAAUAGAGAUUUUUUAAUGUUA
rnacentral:sRNA from 1 species